rnacentral:rRNA from 1 species
CCUACGGGUGGCAGCAGUGAGGAAUAUUGGUCAAUGGACGAGAGUCUGAACCAGCCAAGUAGCGUGAAGGAUGACUGCCCUAUGGGUUGUAAACUUCUUUUAUAUGGGAAUAAAAUGUUCCACGUGUGGGAUUUUGUAUGUACCAUAUGAAUAAGGAUCGGCUAACUCCGUGCCAGCAGCCGCGGUAAUACGGAGGAUCUGAGCGUUAUCCGGAUUUAUUGGGUGUAAAGGGAGCGUAGGUGGAUUGUUAAGUCAGUUGUGAAAGUUUGCGGCUCAACCGUAAAAUUGCAGUUGAAACUGGCAGUCUUGAGUACAGUAGAGGUAGGCGGAAUUCGUGGUGUAGCGGUGAAAUGCUUAGAUAUCACGAAGAACUCCGAUGGCGAAGGCAGUUCACUGGACUGCAACUGACACUGAGGCUCGAAAGUGUGGGUAUCAAACAGGAUUAGAUACCCGUGUAGUC